rnacentral:sRNA from 1 species
GGAUUACUCCUUUACGCUUUCGCGUUUGGUUGAUAAAGAUUCGCACCUCUAUCAAACCGGGUAAUCCCACCUCUUGGCAAGACCUGCUGUCAGAUCAAAUCUGAACUACUACAAUUCAUACCUGGGCUACAAAAGUCCAAACCAAUAUGAGGCUGAAAUGGAAAUGUUG